rnacentral:rRNA from 1 species
GUCGGUGACCAUAGGCUCGGGGUCACAUCUGUUCCCAUUCCGAACACAGCAGUUAAGACCGAGCCGCCGAUGAUACUGCACUGCGGGAAAGUAGGUCAUCGCCGACA